GGCGAAAUGAAGAACCAUGAGAGUUGUAUUAUGCCUAGUAGUGAGGUUCAAGGCUUGGGUAUGGGUUUGCCUGACUUGAGAAGUAAGAAAAAGGGCAAGCAAAAGGUUUCCAAAGAAUCUCGUGUUUCGGAAGCUCUUGAUAAGCUUAGAGAGCAGACUAGGGAGGCUGUCAGGGGACUCGAGUCUGUCACGGGCUCGAAACCCCUUGCAGACGAUUUCGGAAAGGAUCCAAUGAUGGAGGAUUAGGUUAAGCAGUUUGAGGAGCUUGCUGGGUCUCAGAUCAAAUUCAUUUUGAGGUGUGGGUCAUAUGACAUGAGAUUUAAAUCUUUGCCACAUAUUGCCUCAUAAACACUUCGACAUUUUGAUCAAGAGGAGUGGGGACGAUGAUUUAUUCAAUUGGUAGUGUUUCUUCAGUAUCAAUCAUCAAGGACGAUGAUUUAAUUGGUAGUGACGAUGAUUUAAUCCCACUUGAAAAGUGAUGAUGUUUUUCCAUAAAUGUAUGGUUAAAGCAGAAUUGUUGAUGUGUGUAUAUUGAAUCGGUUACUUCUAUGGUUCUGGGAGCUCAUUCUCUGGUGGGAUACCAUACCGCUACAUCUUUGAAUUGAUGUGCUGCUAAUUAUUGUGUCAGAAGUUUCUAAAACAUCAUCAUCUGACCACAAACAUAGGUUUAUUUUAUUUUAUUUUAUUAUUAAAUAUAUUUGCUUUUAGAAAUGGCAUGGAAUUUUAUUCUUUUCUAGCAGCAGUAUGCAAAUACUGAAAUAAUCACCAGGUUUAUAAACUCUAGUCAACAAUAUUGGUGUUUCAUCAGAUUCAUAAAAGAUGGAGUUUGUUGCGACGACCAUUGGUUUAUUUAAUUUUAUAAUAUAUCUACAUGUUCAAGUGUCAGUUAAAUGCAUCUACAAUUUACCUAGCACUUUAACAGUUGCAAAGCUGAUCAUAUCAAUUGGCUAAGAAUCUUUUGUUGUCAAAAUUUUCAAUCUUAUUUUAUUUUUCUUAUUUGAGUGCAAUUAAAGUCAUAGCUAAUAAUAUUAGAUUAUUUAUGGUGAAACUUCUCCUUUCUUUCCCUUCUUUAAAAAAACUUCAGUCCCAUUUCACUUUGUUGUAAUACUCAUUAGUCUCCAUCUCUCUCUCUCUCUGUUAGAUAAGCAUCUCUCUCUCUCUCUCUCUCUCUCUCUCUGAAGUCAAAAUGCAUCUCCAUCCAUCUCCAUCCUCCUCUCUGUUCUUCUUGAUCACACUGAUCUUCAUCUUAAUCCAUAUUCCAUUAUCCGUGCAUGCCACUGACGAACAAUU